rnacentral:rRNA from 1 species
GUGAGUAAUGCCUAGGGAUCUGCCCAGUCGAGGGGGAUAACAGUUGGAAACGACUGCUAAUACCGCAUACGACCUGAGGGUGAAAGGGGGGGAUCGCAAGACCUCUCGCUAUUGGAGCGGCCGAUAUCAGAUUAGCUAGUUGGUGGGGUAAAGGCCUACCAAGGCAACGAUCUGUAGUUGGUCUGAGAGGACGACCAGCCACACUGGGACUGAGACACGGCCCAGACUCCUACGGGAGGCAGCAGUGGGGAAUUUUGGACAAUGGGCGCAAGCCUGAUCCAGCAAUGCCGCGUGCAGGAAGAAGGCCUUCGGGUUGUAAACUGCUUUUGUCAGGGAAGAAAUCCUCUAGGUUAAUACCCUUGGGGGGAUGACGGUACCUGAAGAAUAAGCACCGGCUA